rnacentral:rRNA from 1 species
AAUCUGCCUUGGGGUUCGGAAUAACAGUGGGAAACUACUGCUAAUACCGGAUGAUGUCGUAAGACCAAAGAUUUAUUGCCCUGAGAUGAGCCCGCGUUGGAUUAGCUAGUUGGUGGGGUAAAGGCCUACCAAGGCGACGAUCCAUAGCUGGUCUGAGAGGAUGAUCAGCCACACUGGGACUGAGACACGGCCCAGACUCCUACGGGAGGCAGCAGUGGGGAAUAUUGGACAAUGGGCGAAAGCCUGAUCCAGCAAUGCCGCGUGAGUGAUGAAGGCCUUAGGGUUGUAAAGCUCUUUUACCCGGGAUGAUAAUGACAGUACCGGGAGAAUAAGCUCCGGCUAACUCCGUGCCAGCAGCCGCGGUAAUACGGAGGGAGCUAGCGUUGUUCGGAAUUACUGGGCGUAAAGCGCACGUAGGCGGCUUUGUAAGU